rnacentral:lncRNA from 1 species
CUCAGUGCUUGUGUUCUCCAGCAAAUGUUAUUGGUUUUAUACAUAGUUAGUUCAGACUCAAGUUUGUUGCUAUGAUGCCAACCACCAAUGGGUCCUGUUCUUUUCUGAAAAAUUGGUCAUAGUCCUGGCUCAUCCCUUCUUCCUGGUAACAUUUGGAGGAUUUGAAACAUGACCUUACUCCAGCCCGCAAUUUGGUUGAAAGACUGGGAGGGCUACGUAUUGGAUUUCAAAUAUCAGUGGUCUCAUCCUGCCAAAGAUUGGCAAAGUCUUUCAGGAACAAGAGGUUUGGAGUCCUAUUGAAUGCUGCUGAUGGAUUUUCUAUGUAGAGCAGGUGUUACCAGCCAUAAGAACAUCACCUGACUGAAGUGUUGGAUGUGCUACUCCGGGUUUACAACACUAUGUGUUGAGGGGCUGAUUACUAAGAAGAAUGGCCUCCUGCUUACGGCAAUAGAUUGAGACUCAUGUUUCAAUUUUUUGUCAUCAACUUCUUUUUUGACCUUGAACAAGUCACUUAAUUUAUCUCUGCCUUGGUUCCUUUUCCAUAAAAUGAAGAAAAUGUCUCCCUAUAUCAGAAGUACUCGUAAACUUUAUGGUAUGUUGAUAGAUAUAGCUAAAAGGACAGAAUAAAACAUCAAUCCUUCAUUUUUGUGAAGACCA